rnacentral:rRNA from 1 species
CCUACGGGUGGCAGCAGUGAGGAAUAUUGGUCAAUGGACGAGAGUCUGAACCAGCCAAGUAGCGUGAAGGAUGACUGCCCUAUGGGUUGUAAACUUCUUUUAUAUGGGAAUAAAAUGUUCCACGUGUGGGAUUUUGUAUGUACCAUACGAAUAAGGAUCGGCUAACUCCGUGCCAGCAGCCGCGGUAAUACGGAGGAUCCGAGCGUUAUCCGGAUUUAUUGGGUUUAAAGGGAGCGUAGGUGGAUUGUUAAGUCAGUUGUGAAAGUUUGCGGCUCAACCGUAAAAUUGCAGUUGAAACUGGCAGUCUUGAGUACAGUAGAGGUGGGCGGAAUUCGUGGUGUAGCGGUGAAAUGCUUAGAUAUCACGAAGAACUCCGAUUGCGAAGGCAGUUCACUGGACUGCAACUGACACUGAGGCUCGAAAGUGUGGGUAUCAAACAGGAUUAGAUACCCGUGUAGUC